CUCGUAGGCGGUUCAACAAGUCGGUCGUGAAAGCCCGGGGCUCAACCCCGGGACGCCGGUCGAAACUGUUGUAACUAGGGUCCGGUAGAGGUGAGUGGAAUUCUCGGUGUAGCGGUGGAAUGCGCAGAUAUCGAGAGGAACACCAGUAGCGAAGGCGGCUCACUGGGCCGGUACCGACGCUGAGGAGCGAAAGCAUGGGGAGCAAACA
rnacentral:rRNA from 1 species